rnacentral:rRNA from 1 species
AGUGGCGCACGGGUGAGUAACACGUAGUUAACCUACCCUUGAGAGGGGGACAACACCGCGAAAGCGGUGCUAAGACCGCGUAAGACCACGGACUGGGAUGUUUGUGGGAAAAGCAGCAAUGCGCUUGGGGAUGGGACUGCGGCCUAUCAGGUAGUUGGUGAGGUAAUGGCCCACCAAGCCGAAGACGGGUAGCCGGUCUGAGAGGACGGACGGCCACACUGGGACUGAGACACGGCCCAGACUCCUACGGGAGGCAGCAGUGGGGAAUUUUGCACAAUGGGCGGAAGCCUGAUGCAGCGACGCCGCGUGGAGGACGAAGGCCUUCGGGUUGUAAACUCCUUUUAUCGGGGAAGAUAAUGACGGUACCCGAUGAAUAAGCCACGGCUAACUCUGUGCCAGCAGCCGCGGUAAGACAGAGGUGGCAAGCGUUGUUCGGAAUUACUGGGCUUAAAGGGCGCGUAGGCGGUGGGACAAGUCUGAGGUGGAAUUCUAGAGCUUAACUGUAGGAUUGCCUUGGAAACUGUUUCACUUGAGUCGGACAGGGGAAGGCGGAAUUCCUGGUGUAGCGGUGAAAUGCGUAGAUAUCAGGAGGAAGGCCUGUGGCGAAGGCGGCCUUCUGGGUCUUGACUGACGCUGAGGCGCGAAAGCGUGGGGAGCAAACAGGAUCAGAUACCCUGGUAGUCCACGCCCUAAACGGUGG